GACGAACGCUGGCGGCGUGCUUAACACAUGCAAGUCGAACGGAAAGGCCCUGCUUUUGUGGGGUGCUCGAGUGGCGAACGGGUGAGUAACACGUGAGUAACCUGCCCUUGACUUUGGGAUAACUUCGGGAAACUGGGGCUAAUACCGGAUUGGAGCUCCUGCUGCAUGGUGGGGGUUGGAAAGUUUCGGCGGUUGGGGAUGGACUCGCGGCUUAUCAGCUUGUUGGUGGGGUAGUGGCUUACCAAGGCUUUGACGGGUAGCCGGCCUGAGAGGGUGACCGGCCACAUUGGGACUGAGAUACGGCCCAGACUCCUACGGGAGGCAGCAGUGGGGAAUAUUGCACAAUGGGCGGAAGCCUGAUGCAGCAACGCCGCGUGCGGGAUGACGGCCUUCGGGUUGUAAACCGCUUUCGCCUGUGACGAAGCGUGAGUGACGGUAAUGGGUAAAGAAGCACCGGCUAACUACGUG
rnacentral:rRNA from 1 species